GGUUAAGUGAAUAAGGGCGCACGGUGGAUGCCUUGGCACUAGGAGCCGAUGAAGGACGGGACUAACACCGAUAUGCUUUGGGGAGCUGUAAGUAAGCUAUGAUCCAGAGAUUUCCGAAUGGGGGAACCCAAUAUCUUUUAUAGGAUAUUACUUUUCAGUGAAUACAUAGCUGAUUAGAGGUAGACGCAGAGAACUGAAACAUCUUAGUACCUGCAGGAAGAGAAAGAAAAUUCGAUUCCCUGAGUAGCGGCGAGCGAAACGGGAAGAGCCCAAACCAACAAGCUUGCUUGUUGGGGUUGUAGGACUCCAAUAUGGUAGUCUGUUAGUAUAGUUGAAGGAUUUGGAAAAUUCCGCUAAAGAGGGUGAAAGCCCCGUAGACGAAAUGCUGACAACACCUAGGAGGAUCCUGAGUACGGCGGAACACGAGAAAUUCCGUCGGAAUCCGCGGGGACCAUCCCGCAAGGCUAAAUACUCCCUAGUGACCGAUAGUGAACCAGUACCGUGAGGGAAAGGUGAAAAGCACCCCGGAAGGGGAGUGAAAUAGAUCCUGAAACCGUGUGCCUACAACAAGUCAAAGCUCGUUAAUGAGUGAUGGCGUGCCUUUUGUAGAAUGAACCGGCGAGUUACGAUUGCAUGCGAGGUUAAGUCGAAGAGACGGAGCCGCAGCGAAAGCGAGUCUGAAUAGGGCGAAUGAGUAUGUAGUCGUAGACCCGAAACCAUGUGAUCUACCCAUGUCCAGGUUGAAGGUGCGGUAAAACGCACUGGAGGACCGAACCCACGUACGUUGAAAAGUGCGGGGAUGAGGUGUGGGUAGCGGAGAAAUUCCAAACGAACUUGGAGAUAGCUGGUUCUCUCCGAAAUAGCUUUAGGGCUAGCCUCGGAAUUGAGAAUGAUGGAGGUAGAGCACUGUUUGGACUAGGGGCCCAUCUCGGGUUACCGAAUUCAGAUAAACUCCGAAUGCCAUUCAUUUAUAUCCGGGAGUCAGACUGCGAGUGAUAAGAUCCGUAGUCGAAAGGGAAACAGCCCAGACCACCAGCUAAGGUCCCAAAAUAUAUGUUAAGUGGAAAAGGAUGUGGGGUUGCACAGACAACUAGGAUGUUGGCUUAGAAGCAGCCACCAUUUAAAGAGUGCGUAAUAGCUCACUAGUCGAGUGACCCUGCGCCGAAAAUGUACCGGGGCUAAACAUAUUACCGAAGCUGUGGACUACACCAUUAGGUGUAGUGGUAGGAGAGCGUUCUAAGGGCGUUGAAGGUCGAUCGUGAGGACGGCUGGAGCGCUUAGAAGUGAGAAUGCCGGUAUGAGUAGCGAAAGACAGGUGAGAAUCCUGUCCACCGUAUGACUAAGGUUUCCUGGGGAAGGCUCGUCCGCCCAGGGUUAGUCGGGACCUAAGCCGAGGCCGAUAGGCGUAGGCGAUGGACAACAGGUUGAUAUUCCUGUACCAGUUGUUUUUGUUUGAGCAAUGGAGGGACGCAGUAGGCUAAGGAAUGCAUGCGAUUGGAAGUGCAUGUCCAAGCAAUGAGUCUUGAGUAGAGUUAAAUGCUUUACUCUCUAAGGACAAGUUGUGACGGGGAGCGAAAUAAUAGUAGCGAAGUUCCUGAUGUCACACUGCCAAGAAAAGCUUCUAGUGAGAAAACAACUGCCCGUACCGUAAACCGACACAGGUAGUCGAGGAGAGUAUCCUAAGGUGAGCGAGCGAACUCUCGUUAAGGAACUCGGCAAAAUGACCCCGUAACUUCGGGAGAAGGGGUGCU
rnacentral:rRNA from 1 species